AUGUGUGUGUGUUCUUUUUUGCCCAACCUCAGUAGCAAAGGUGAAAGUCUGGGGACUUCCCUGGGGGUCCAGUGGCUAAGAUUCCAUGCUCCCAGUGCAGGGAACCUGGGUUCAAUCCCUGGACAGGAAACUUGCUCCCACAUGCCACAACUAAGACCUGGAGCAGUCAGUAAGUUUUCUUUAAAAAGGGAGACUUUUCACCGUCUGAGCCAUCAGGGAAGCUUGCAUCCAGGAGCAUCUCACAUAAUGAAGACAGUCCCAGAUGAACCUAGAAGAAUCUGCUCCUCCAAGGCAGUGUCCAAGAGCUCAGCCUGGAGCAGCUCAGCCUGGAGCAGCGCAGCCAGAGUCACUACCAUCCAUCCUCGUCUCAGCCUUGCUGCAAGCCAGGCUAGCAUCCCCAUUAAUAUAAAUGAGGUCUUUGCUGACUUUGAUUUCCAAAUGAGCCCAGCCGUUCAAGAUCUCUAUUCCAGGAAAUGAGAAAUUUAUGUAAUGAAAAUUAAAAGAGAAACUGGGGAAGCGGCUCUUUAAGUGCCUACUUCCUGGGUAAGUGAGUCAGAUCUGGCAGGAGAUGGAUGAAGAUGCCACCCUACGUCUCCUGGGAACCUGUGACCAGCAGGGAGGCAGGGAGCAUCCAGGCUAUAGGCAAAGAUGAAGCCCCCAGACCCCCUUCUUUUGCUCCAAAAAGCAGCCAUGAUAAUAAUAGCUCAUGUUCACUGCUCCUGUUCACCUGCCCAGCCCUGUUCUAAACACUUUACUUACAUGGGUUAUUUCGUUCAACCUUCAUGACAAAGAGAUGGUAUAGGCACCACUAUGUUCCCCAUUUUACAGAUGGGAAAACUGAGGCUCAGGUUGUGACCUGAUCAAGGACACAGAGCAAAACAGUGGCACAAAUGGGACUCGAGUCUUUUGUCUAUCAUCUCCACAGUUCCUCUAGUCCAGAGCUCAGACAAUGUGGAAUGGAAGGAAGGCUCAGGAGGCAGAGAGAUUUGGAUUCGAAUCCAAGCUUCAACUACUGACCUGCUAUAUGACCUUGAACAAGCUGCUUACUUCCCAGCAACUCAGUUCCUUUAUAAUUUUUGCCCCUUCCCCAUUGAGUUCAUCCCUGAAUUAAAGAAGAUAAUGUAUAAAGAUGGCAACACAGGAUUUCAGAUGCCUUCUCAAACUAAUUUUAAAAACCAAUGGCAAACUCUUAGAACUGAAAAGUCUUUGGGCAAUAGCUUCAGGUACAGUUGGAUCCAGGGGCUCUAAGGAUGCCAAGGGCACAGUUUUUUCUUUUUCUCCGUGUAGUGGGCCCUCCCUAGGAGCUCCAAGAUUACAUCAGAUUUCUUACAGCUAGAAAUCUUGGUUGAAAGAGAGUUUUUUUCAAACAGCGCAGCAGAAGUCCUGGUAUUCACUCUGAUUGGACCAAGUUGGGUCACAUGAUCAUCCCAUCACCAAUCUUUAUGGCCAGAGAGAUGGACAAUGCUGAUUGGGCCACCCAGGCCACACACUCCUGGAGCUACGGGGAGGGGUGCAGAAAACCAGGGCUGAGCCAUUUGGACUGUGAGGGGGAGAGGCUAGCCUCCUCCCAAAAACCUGGGUGCUCUUACCAGAAAAAUAAAGAAUAUAUGCUGGGCCAGCAGGAAUACCAGAUGGUGAUCCUGGCACAUAGUAGGCCAUAAAUAAAUACAUGUGCAAUUGAACAAAAAAAUUUCUACCCCUGAGGUUGGUUGUAAGGAUAAAGUGAAAUAAUGUAUAUGACUCCCUGGCACAUAUCAGCACUCUAUAAAUCUUGUCUUAGAGAAAUAAGAGGUGCUCAGAUUGAGUUUAGAUUCUGGUCACAUGCUGAUGAGCACAGAUGCUGGAAAAAAAUUGGAAGAAAAUGCCUCCCUCACCUCAGCCAGGAAAGUGAAAGUGAAGUCGCUCAGUCGUGCCCCCCGUCGUGCCCGACUCUUUGCGACCCCAUGGACGGUAGCCUGCCCCAAGCUCCUCUGCCCAUGGGAUUUUCAGGGCAAGAGUACUGGAGUGGGUUGCCAUUUCCUUCUCCAGAGAAUCUUCCCAACCCAGGGAUCAAACCCAGCUCUCUCACAUUGUAGACAGAGGCUUUACCCUCUGAGCCACCAGGGAAGUCCUCCCCCAAAUUCAUUUUACAUCCUACAGACAGAACAGGACCAGGACUCAGGUAAAGAAAGUGAGGCUCUUGCUGCGGCGUAAAAUGUAAGGGGACAGGGGCUUCCCUGGUGGUCCAAUGGUUAGGGCUUCACCUUCCAAUGCAGGGGGUGGGGGUUUGAUCCCUGGUUGGGGAGCUAAGAUUCCACAUGCCUCACAACCAAAAAGGCAAAACAUAAAACAGAAACAAUACUGUAACAAAUUCAAAAAAGACUUAAAACAUGGUCCACAUCAAAAAAACAUCUUUUAAAAUUGUAUUUAGAAAAAUGUAAUUAGAAAAAAAAAUGUAUUUCAGGGACACUGAAAAAGCAAUAAUAUUUUUAAAAAUCAACAGUACAAAAAUCCAUGAUGUUCAAAAUAUUAACAUUUUAAAUAGACAUAUCCAUAUGUACACAUUUACAUAUCACUUCUGUGCAAAUAUCCAGACAUAUGCACAUACGGACAUUUUCACAGACAUAUCUUUGUGUAUUUCCUCAUAAAAUCUGCACAGGGCCACUGCAUGGCACAACCCCAAGGGGUCCCAUUCCAUUGUAAUCUGCAUAGAUGGCAUCCCCCGCGCUGUGCAGGAACAGCACCUCUGGCUGAACACAGCAGUCCUGUGUGUGAACAAACGGGUAAGCGCAUCUCCAUCCAUGAGAAAGCUCACAGCCACCCAUCCAGCACUAAGUGGUGCCACGUAACAUGCCAAACAUGGAACUGCACGAUUUGGUUUCACGUGUGCUGACUUUCUUGCCCCAGGGCUUCUGCACUUGCUGUUUGCUCUACCUGGGAUGUUCUUGCCAUAUAACCAUGUAGCUCCCUCUCUUGCCUCCUACAUCCUCGAAGGUGACUUUGUCAGGAGGGCUCUAACACCUCCACAACCUACCAUUGUCUAAAAUUGCAAACCCUCACCCACAGUCCAUAUCCCCUCAAAACUUGCUUUAUUUUUCUCCUUAACAUUUAAGACCAUCUGACAUAAUAUGUGGCUCCCCAGGUGGCUCAGUGGUAAAGAAUCUGCCUGCCAGUGCAAGAGAUGUAGCUUCAACCCCUGGGUCAGGAAGAUUCCCUGGAGGAAGAAAUGGCAACCCACUCCAGUAUUCUUGCCCGGAAAACCCCAUGGAGAGAUGAGCCUGGCGGGCUGCAGUCCAUGGGAUCACAAAGAGUAGGACACAGCUUAUCAACUGACCACACACAUACAUAACGUAUUUUCCUUUCUAUCCUAUUUCUUGCCCGGAAAGCCCCAUGGAGAGAUGAGCCUGGCGGGCUGCAGUCCAUGGGAUCACAAAGAGUAGGACACAGCUUAUCAACUGAUCACACACAUACAUAACGUAUUUUCCUUUCUAUCCUAUUGACUGUCUACCCUGCUAAAAUUGUCAGGGAUUCUCUGGUGGCUCAGACAGCAAAGAAUCUACCUGCAAUGCAGGAGACCUAGUUUUGAUCCCUUGGUUGAGAAGAUCCCCUAGAGAAAGGAAUGGCUACCCGCUCCAGUACUCUUGCCUGGAGAAUUCCAUGGACAGAGGAGCCUGGUAGGCCACUGUCCACGGAAUCACAAAGAGCUGAACACGACUGAGAAACUAACACUCUCACCACUAAAAUAUCAGCUCUACAAAGGCAAGGAUUUUUGUCUGCUUUGUUCACUGCCACGUUUCCCAUCUUUAGAGCGUUGCCUCACACAGAGUAGGUGCUCAAUAAGUAUUAGUUAAAUGAAUGAAAAAAAGCCAAGAAAGAGGGGAUCCCUGAGCAUGACUUAGACCAAAUUUCCCAUUAUCUCAGCAGAAAGGCAAUCAAAAGUCAGAUGAAAGUUGGGUUCUAGAACUUAGUAGCAAUGUAAGAUACAUGCUAAGUGAUGUGAGCAUAUUAUCUCCUUUAAUCAUCACAGCAGCCCUGUUAGGCUGGGGUUCCCAGUGUCCAGCAUCUAAUGCCUGAUGAUAUGAGGUGGAGCUGAUGUAAUAAUAAUGGAAAUUAAGUGCUCAAUAAAUGCAAUACACUUGAAUCAUCCCAAAACCAUCCCCCUCCCUGACCUCUGUCCAUGGAAAAGCUGACCUCCAUGAAACCGGUCCCCAGCACCAAGAAGGUUGGGAACCAUGUGUAAGGUACCAUUGUCUAUCCCCAGUUUACCUGGAGGGAAUCAAGGCACUGAGCGGUUAAAUCGCUUAGACAAGACGUGUGGAAAUGGUAAAGCUGAGAUUCAAACCCAGCAUCUUGGCUCCACCCAGUCCACACUCCUACCACUCCCCACUCCUACACACACACACACACACACACACACACACACACACACACACACUCUGAUAUAGUGUCACCUGGUCCUUUCAGUUUUUAGGCAACUCUCAGAAAAGAAACCUCCUUCCCCCAGACUGGGUGUCUGGAGUCCCCACCCCUCACUGCCCUCAUUGCACCCCAGCCAAAUGCAAAUCUGCAUCCCUGGCGUCCUUGCUUGCUGUUGCUGCGAGAAGCUGUAGGCUGUCCAGUUGUCAUGGCGAUGGUCUCCAGCUCUUAUCAACAGUCCCGCCUCCUGGCUGCCGGGCUGGCUCACUCUUACCGAGCUUAGAGGCUGUUCCGUGGCCUUGCUCCAUACCUGACCCCUUCUGGGUAGCUGGGUGCGCCCAAAGCUUCCCUUGUCUCUCCUGUUCCCACCUGGGGGCAGGAGGAUCAGAAGCAAGGCACCUGGUCCCCGCCUACCUUCCUGGCCUCCUUGGCUAUGUGACCUUGAGCUAUCACAUCUCCUCCUAACCCUGCUUUACAGGUGGCCACGAAGAGUUAAUGAGUUCAGUGGUUCAUUCAUUCCACAAAUUAUUACUGAGCUCCUGCCAUGUGCCAGGCAAUGGUCUAGGUGCUGGGGAUACAGCAAUGACUAAGACAGACCAGGCUGUCUGGGAGACAGACAACAAACAAGUUCUGGGAAGGAGAUAAUGUAACUGAAUGCAAAUGAGUGGAGGGAUCAGGGCAGACACUACUUAGGGUGGUCGAGGAAUGGCUUUCUCACUUGAGCUAAACCAGAAUAAGCAGAUAGCCAUGCAAAUAUACAGGGAAAGAGUAUUCCAGAAAGAAACUGCAGCAUUUACAAAGGCCCUGAGGCAGGGAUGAACUGGUCUGUUUAAGGAACAGAAGGCCCUUCCCUCAAAAUGAUGCUUAUAACUUUCGGAGGGCAGCUUCCAAG
ensembl:lincRNA